UCUAAAUCUGAAAAAAAAAAUGGAAUAAAAUAAAAAUUCCCUAAACUCCGUUUCAAUUCCUCUAAAAUGUUAUUUCUUGGAAAAAAAAAACCCGUGAAAUGGCCAAGGCAUAGUUUUUGUCUAUGGGAGGAAAAGAGGUUUUGCUCAAGAAUGUCAUUCAAGCGAUACUCACUUAUUCUAUGAAUUUGUUCAAGCUUCCUUAUUCUUUGAUAUCUAAAAUCCAUAAGCUUUGUGCACGAUUAUGGUGGGGGUGGGGAUGAUGAGAAAAGAAAGAUGUAUUGGUGCUCGUGGAAAAAGUUAUGCUGGCACAAAAAUGAUGGGGAACUAGGGUUCAAAAAUUUGUCUCUAUUCAACCAGUCUAUGCUAGCCAAGCAAACAUGGAGAAUUUACAAUUACCCUAACUUCUUGGCAGCCCGUGUUCUCAAUGGCCUCUAUUAUGCGGGCUCAUCGUUCCUUCAGGCCGAGGUAACCUCUCGUUCCUCCUAUUGUGGCGUAAUUUGUUAUGGGGGAGAGAACUUAUGCUUGAGGGCGCUCGUUGUUAAGUAGCUGGGACCUGGGAUGCUAACUUAGUGCGCCAAUCUUUUUCCCAUGAAGAGGCAAAUGCUACUUUAUCCAUCCCUCUAUCCACUCACGCUUUGACAGAUAGAUUGGUUCGGCAGCACAAUAGCUUUGGAUGGUACAUUGUUAAAAAAGGAUAUUGGUUUGCAACUAGAAAUGCAGGUUUAGCAUAAUGUUCCUCGGGGCGUUUGAAAUGGUGGAAAUUUUAUGGCAACUCAAGCUUCUUGCGAAGGUUAAAAGUUUUUCUUGGAAGGUUUCUAGGGACUGGCUUUCGUGUCGUUUGAACCUUGCUGCUCAUGGUAUGCACAUCGACAAAGUUUUCCCUUUUCGUGCAUCAACAGAUGAGUCUACCUUCCACACUUUUUGGAGUUUCCCUUCCCUUCAAGAAUUCUGUGAUGUUGCUCUCUUCGAUGUCAUAAGAAACUGGAAAGUAGAUACUAAAUGGUCUGAUUUUUUAUUUGAGUCCAUGGAUUCUAUUCCUUCUUCUGACAUUGAACUAUUAUUAGUAGUCGCUUGGCGCAUAUGGUAACUCCUACAUGAGUCCAUUACCAUAUCAGGAGAUCUGGUGAUCAAUUAGGCCCUCGAUUACCUUGAAAAAUAUCAGAUUACAAACCAGGGGCACUCUUGUAUCUUGCCUCCUAAGCGUCAUCAUGAAGCUUGGUC